GUGAUUAUAGCUCAUUGGUAGAGUGCUUGCCUAAUAUGUGUGAGGCAUUGGGUUUGAUCCUCAAUUUCACA
rnacentral:tRNA from 1 species